rnacentral:rRNA from 1 species
GAUGAACGCUGGCGGCGUGCCUAAUACAUGCAAGUCGAGCGAACAGACGAGGAGCUUGCUCCUCUGACGUUAGCGGCGGACGGGUGAGUAACACGUGGAUAACCUACCUAUAAGACUGGGAUAACUUCGGGAAACCGGAGCUAAUCCCGGAUAAUCUCUUGAACCGCAUGGUUCCAUAGUGAAAGACGGUUUUGCUGUCACUUAUCGAUGGAUCCGCGCCGCAUUAGCUAGUUGGUAAGGUAACGGCUUACCAAGGCAACGAUGCGUAGCCGACCUGAGAGAGUGAUCGGCCACACGGGAACUGAGACACGGUCCAGACGCCUAAGGGAGGCAGCAGUAGGGAAUCGUCCGCAAUGGGCGAAAGCUUGACGGAGCAACGCCGCGUGAGUGAUGAAGGUCUUCGGAGCGUAAAACUCUGUUAUUAGGGAAGAACAAAUGUGUAAGUAACUAAGCACGUCUUGACGGUACCUAAUCAGAAAGCCACGGCUAACUACGUG